CCGCCUGCCCUGUGACAUUGUUUAACGGCCGCGGUAUUAUGACCGUGCGAAGGUAGCGUAAUCACUUGUCUUUUAAUUGAAGACCUGUAUGAAAGGCAUCACGAGAGUUUACCUGUCUCUAUUUUCUAAUCAAUGAAAUUGAUCUCCCCGUGCAGAAGCGGGGAUAAAACCAUAAGACGAGAAGACCCUAUGGAGCUUUAAACACUUAAGUUACUAUCUUACUUACCAACUAAUCUAAAGACUUAACCCACCCUAAUAGUAAUCUAACUUAAUGUUUUCGGUUGGGGCGACCAAGGAGUAAAAGAAAACCUCCUUAUCGAUUGAGUAUUUUUACUUAAAAAUCAGAACAACAGUUCUGAUCAAUAGAAUAUCUAACGAAUAAUGACCCAGGAUUAUACCCUGAUCAAUGAACCAAGUUACCCUAGGGAUAACAGCGCAAUCCUUUCUAAGAGUCCAUAUCGCCGAAAGGGUUUACGACCUCGAUGUUGGAUCAGGACAUCCUAAUGGUGCAACCGCUAUUAAGGGUUCGUUUGUUCAACGAUUAAUAGUCCUACGUGAUCUGAGUUC
rnacentral:rRNA from 1 species